rnacentral:sRNA from 1 species
CUCUAUUUCAUCCCCCCAAGCACCAAACAAGCCAGCACCACCCCCUUACUCACCAUCCUCCUCACCAUCCUCCUCAUCCUCUUCUCCCGUCCUAGCCGAAGAAUCGACAUUGCGACCCUGGCCGAACUCCUCCCCAUCCUCACUCCCAUAUCCCCCAUUUCCUCCCCCCUUGCCCUUCCUCCACACGGGCACCAUCCGACUUCGGUUCAUGGCUUGCCACUCCAUGAACUCUUUUUGUAGGCCCGCAAGGUGGCGUACACUGGUUAUCCCAGUGUUGGCAGCCCCCGAAGCGAGCCUCGUCUUCUCGAAAGACGAAUUCCAACACCACCCUCCUAUAUUGUUUAAUUGAUGUCAGUCGACGUAGGCCCUCGCACUAAUCCAACUCACCUCUCCUUUUCUCCGAGUUCGCCAAGCUCGAACAUCUCCUUUGCCGCCACCUUCCAAAAGUUCUCAACCUUUGGGGACAAAGGAGAGCCGACUCGGUAAGUCGAAUACCUCUACAAGUAAAAUACAUCAGCUACUGUGAUGUUGCUUAAACGAAAGAAACAUGCCAGGAAGGCGAGGCGCUGUAGAAAGGGCAUGGCCAAGGGGUGGUCAAGGGGGACCCCUUGGCCAUGCAUCGGCCUAGAACGACGAGGUUCCAGCGCUCAUCAAUGCUUUUUGAUAAGCUAUACAAAGCAAUUCGUCAAUAGUCGUAGCAUAUAAAUAAGGUCGCUUACCGCCUGCUUCCUCUCGCUCCUCCAGACCGUCAACUUUCGUGUGACUUCCUUUCGGAAGUCGUGACGGUCAGGGUGCCGAGCAUUGGGCACCCCACCCACUUUGCAGGCGACUGCUGCAUCCUGAGUAGAUGUAGUUAAAUAUCUGGUACGUCACCAAUGGUAAACAAGGUAAACCUACGUGGAUUAUGGAAGCCAGGUUGCUUCCAUAGAAAAGGUCGGAGAAGGGGGUGAUCAAAAAUGCAUUGACCACCCCGCUGGCUAAGUCACUGUAUUUUUGCUGGUAAAUGAACGUCAGAUGACUGAAAGGUUAUGCUGUGUUUGGUUUGAUUAAGUACCGAACUUACAGAGGGCUUCGAGCCCGUUAAAGCAGAUGGCGACUGGGAGGCGAACAGACACUUCAGGAUCGCCAACUCUUUGAGAAUGAACUCUUGAUUACGCUCC